GACAGAGGGUGCAAACGUUGUUCGGAUUUACUGGGCGUAAAGCGCGUGUAGGCGGCUUGGCAAGUCGGAUGUGAAAGCCCACGGCUCAACCGUGGAAGCGCAUCCGAAACUGCAUCGCUCGAGUCUCGGAGAGGAAGGUGGAAUGCUUGGUGUAGAGGUGAAAUUCGUAGAUAUCAAGCAGAACACCUGCGGCGAAGGCGGCCUUCUGGACGAUGACUGACGCUGAGGCACGAAAGCUGGGGGAGCAAACAGG
rnacentral:rRNA from 1 species